AUAAGUGUUUCACUGCGAAACUGCGAAUGGGUCAUUAAAACAGUUAUAGUUUCCAUGUCAGUUGUUUAUUACCUGGAUAUCCCCGGUAAUUCUAGAGCUAAAACAUGCGUCCAAACCCGACUUUUGCGGAAGGGUUGUGCUUAUUAAACACUGAACCAUCCCGGGUUUCCCGGUUUCGAGUUGAUUGAUG
rnacentral:rRNA from 1 species